rnacentral:rRNA from 1 species
GCUUGUCUCAAAGAUUAAGCCAUGCAUGUCUAAGUACAAGCCGCUAGUUCGGCGAAACCGCGAAUGGCUCAAUAAAUCAGUUAUGGUUCCUUAGAUCCACUCCAUCCUACUUGGAUAACUGUGGCAAUUCUAGAGCUAAUACAUGCUGUUUUGCCUGACUCUGUGGUAAGGCUGUGCUUAUUAGUACCAGAACCAACCCAAGUUCUGCUUGGUUGCAUCCUGAUUCAUAAUAAACGAAUGGAUUGCAUGCUUUGGCUGGCAAUGUAGCAUCUAAGUUUCUGACCUAUCAGCUUCCGACGGUAAGGUAUUGGCUUACCGUGGCAAUGACGGGUAACGGAGAAUUAGGGUUUGAUUCCGGAGAGGGAGCCUGAGAAACGGCUACCACAUCUAAGGAAGGCAGCAGG